rnacentral:lncRNA from 1 species
UUUUAUUACCACUUUUUCACACAUUAGAAUGAUUCAAUAUGGACAAAUCAAUCCAUCACCAAGUCUCAUUACUCUCAAACACAUAUUACAAGGAAAUACACGAUUAUAUACACUUAACAAGGGUUUAGAAAUCCACUUGCCUCAAUUAAUCAACAAUUCACUCCGGGACUUGAGCCUUCUCUUUUCGUUGAGCUUCCAAAUCAAUGCAAUAUAUUCAAAUACAUGGUCACAAUAAGAUUUUAGAACUAACAACACCCAUAUUGCUAUAGGCUUAGCCUAGACCCAAAAACUCACUCAAAUCUAUAAUCAAGUUUAACUUGUCAAUUCUCUUAUUUCCAAAUUUGAAGUCUAGGGUUAAUUCCAAGUUCUCCAAUAUCAUAAAUCUAAUAAUAUUCAUAUAAUAUAACACACAUAAUAUUUAAGUACCUAUCUUAAUAUGUCAAAACUUGAAUCAUAAUGUGAUGAACAUAAGAAUUCCAAAAAAAAUCCAAACUAAUACAUAAUCAGUAACCUAAGCGAAAUCUAACCCAUAUUUACAUCCAUGUUAUCUACCAUUAAUAAUGCUUAAUUGCCAAUUCAUGGCCAAUAAUUAGCUACUCAAUUCCUGAUCCCCCUAUCUCCAAAAGUGCACUACAUAUUCUUUAAUUUAAGUUGCAAAAUACAUCCUUUCAACCCAAUUGCAUAAAUAUCAUAAGAUGCCAACUCCAUUCAUACAUAUAUAUAUAUAUAUAUAUAUAUAAAUCAAAUAUUAAUUGCACUAAUUUCGUAAAUGCCUUCCCAUUGGUUUAGGAAUAACAAGAUUCCAUGUUGUAGAACGGUUAAACAAAACUUCGGAAACAUGAUUACUUAUGAUUACCAUUCAUUUAUUAACCACUAGAAUUUUUGUCCCUUUAGAUCCAAAAGGUCACGGCAAUUCCAACAAACCUACCAACCACUAACUUUAUUUUCCAACCCAAGAUUUCUAUCAUAUAAUAAUACUCUUAUAUGGAAUAAUUAAUGUAGGCAUAUACAAAAAUGGAAGGCCGGGGGAAAUUUGCUUACCUGCAAUUCUUCGUGCCCUUUUGUUCUGUA